AAAGCGUGUGCAGGCGGUUUUGUAAGACUGUCGUGAAAUCCCCGGGCUCAACCUGGGAAUGGCGAUGGUGACUGCAAGGCUAGAGUUUGGCAGAGGGGGGUAGAAUUCCACGUGUAGCAGUGAAAUGCGUAGAUAUGUGGAGGAACACCGAUGGCGAAGGCAGCCCCCUGGGUCAAAACUGACGCUCAUGCACGAAAGCGUGGGGAGCAAACAGGAUUAGAUACCCUUGU
rnacentral:rRNA from 1 species